rnacentral:lncRNA from 1 species
GGAGGGGCCUCUGGUGGCGGUCGGGAACUGGUGGGGGAGGCGGCAACAUUGUUUCAAGUUGGACAAAUUGACAAGAGCCAGACGUAGACUGCGUUCCAUCCCGACCUGGGGCCACGGUGCUGAGCUGUUUCCCCCUCCUCCGCCUCCGAGAGUUGGGGCCCGCUUUCUGCAGGGUUCCCAGGCCCCCGCUCCAGGGCCGGGCGACCCUACUCCUGU